rnacentral:ncRNA from 1 species
AGGAGCCGUAUACCGAACGGUACGUACGGUUCGGUGGGAGGUCGGCUGACUCACUAAGGGUCAGCCUCCUACCCGAU